GAUGAACGCUGGCGGCGUGCUUAACACAUGCAAGUCGAACGGAAAGGCCCAAGCUUGCUUGGGUACUCGAGUGGCGAACGGGUGAGUAACACGUGGGUGAUCUGCCCCGCACUUCGGGAUAAGCCUGGGAAACUGGGUCUAAUACCGGAUAGGACCACAUUUUGGAUGGUGUGGUGGAAAGUUUUUCGGUGUGGGAUGAGCUCGCGGCCUAUCAGCUUGUUGGUGGGGUAAUGGCCUACCAAGGCGUCGACGGGUAGCCGGCCUGAGAGGGUGUACGGCCACAUUGGGACUGAGAUACGGCCCAGACUCCUACGGGAGGCAGCAGUGGGGAAUAUUGCACAAUGGGCGCAAGCCUGAUGCAGCGACGCCGCGUGGGGGAUGACGGCCUUCGGGUUGUAAACUCCUUUCGCUAGGGACGAAGCGCAAGUGACGGUACCUGGAGAAGAAGCACCGGCUAACUACGUG
rnacentral:rRNA from 1 species